CUCCCACAGCUCCCAUCUCCCAGCUGAGCCAGUUUGUUGAUUUUAUUCUUUCCAAAGUGCACCAAAGUUUACUGUUCCUAGUGCUCAGGACGAGGUCUCAAGUUCAACGCUCUCCAUCCAUCACUGCAGCUCCUAGAAGCCUACACACUAGUCAGCGCAAGUCUUUGGUAAUUCAAGGAGAGAUGAUCAGAACUCAUAAUCAUGCAGAAGCCAAAUAAGCUAAGCUGACUGAAGGAAGUCCAAGGAUCUGCCUAGCAGAUCUGCACAUUGUUCUUAAGACAUCAUAUGGUAGGAAAAAAAAGAAAAAAAAAAAGAUGGGAGCGGAAACUCAAAAGGAACAAGGGAAAGAUAAGAAAAGCUUUAACAACAUAACAAGGCUCCCUGUCUCCUCUGAGGUCAACAUCCCCGAUCCUCCCCUGCACUGCACUCUCAGUCUGCAGCAGGGAUAAGCUAGCCUCAUAACUGAAGAGUUCCAGUUCCUAUCCACCCUCCUCCCUAAACACGGUGGGAAGAGCCACGUUAUGCUGCUGACCUUGGAACAAACCCAGUUUUCCGAAUUAAAGUGAACCAUC
ensembl:lincRNA 1700001D01Rik RIKEN cDNA 1700001D01 gene